GUUGACAAAGUAACAGGAAG
rnacentral:miRNA from 1 species